rnacentral:rRNA from 1 species
UACGCAGGGUGCAAGCGUUAAUCGGAAUUACUGGGCGUAAAGCGUGCGCAGGCGGUUAUGUAAGACAGUUGUGAAAUCCCCGGGCUCAACCUGGGAACUGCAUCUGUGACUGCAUAGCUAGAGUACGGUAGAGGGGGAUGGAAUUCCGCGUGUAGCAGUGAAAUGCGUAGAUAUGCGGAGGAACACCGAUGGCGAAGGCAAUCCCCUGGACCUGUACUGACGCUCAUGCACGAAAGCGUGGGGAGCAAACAGG